rnacentral:lncRNA from 1 species
GCAAAGAUCAACACCCUCAUAAAUCUUUUCAACAAAGUAUGGAUAGAACAUAGUAUAGUAUAAUUGCCGUAUCCGGCAAUCCUCCUCAGUUGAAUCGGCUUCCCCCAUCAAACUUCCUACCACAGCACCUAGCCGAGGAUGUUCCUCAACAACAGUCCAACCUCUAAUAGACAUAUUAGAAGAUUCCACAACUUCUAUUUGAGAGCAGAGACUUGUCAUUGGCUAUAGAUAACCUAUUCGACGAAGUGAACCAAGAUCUGAGCAACCAGGAAUCGAUCCCCAAACUCACCAUACACUCGACCAUGAUGCCAACGAAAUACGACUCCCAUCUACCCUGUUUGAAAUUAGUGAUCAAGAUACAUCACAACAGAUAGACACAACCCUCAAACAAGAAAUAGAAGAAAUUUUGGUGAACAUGGAGCAAGAACGGAGGGCCAUUCCACCAGAUUGACCACGAACAACACGGCUUCAUCAACGUAUCAACACAGAAUGACAACGUCACUUUGACACAAUACCAUACGGACCGGAAGACCUUCACAGAAUAGUUGAAUCAGCAAGAAACAACCCACAAUUUCGGGAAAGUCUAACUGCAUCAGAGAUCUAUGCGUCAACUACACAAUUUCUACAAGGCGAAAAUUUUCACAAUUGGUUAGCGGAUGGAAGACAAUUCUUUAACCUCGAUAACCGACAUCCUUAAUAAGAUCAACAUAAACAAGGCCUUGUGUAGCAAGAAGCUAACUACUCUUUUACAUUGAUGUGCGAUGCAAACACAAUUGUGUCAUUUCCUGGUCUUGCUACUCUCGAGCGGAUGGACGGACCUGCUGCUUCGAACCGGACACAACGAGCGCAUUAGUGGCCAUAAAUAACCUACUUGACGAAGUGAAUCAGAUAGGAGCAACCAGGCCCCAAUCCCCACGAUUCACCAUCUAAUCCACCUCAACGCCAACGAUAUAUGACUCCCAACUACUCUUUUCAUAUCAGCAAUGACGAUACAAUACAACAAGAAACAACCCUCAAACAAGAAGCAGAAGAAGAUUUGGUGAACAUGGAGCGAGAACGGAGGGCCUUUUGCCCAAAUUUACCACGAACAACACGGCCUCAACAACGCAUCAACAUAAAACGACAACGUCUCUUUGACGUAAUUCCAUACGAGCGGAAAGACCUCCACAGAACAGUUGAAUCAGCGAGAAACAACCUACAAUUUUGGAAAAGUCUAACUAUAUUAGAGAUGCGGAGGACAACUCUUUAACCUUGGUAACCGACAUCCUCAAAAAGAUCAACAUCAACAAGGCAAGUUAGUUUUUUCAUUACAUCAAAUAAGUAACGACAACAAAAACAGGAAGUUACAAAAUCCUACCUCUAGCGACAGAUGUCCCCUGUUUAACCCAGCACGGCCAUAGGCCUCAGUUUUCUAAGCUAAAGGUCUAGACACCAGCACUGAAAUGGUGCUAGAAUUGAAACGAUAAGAAUCCACCUACAUCCGGCCAGUAGCCUAGUCACAUGUGUCAGACACAAAUUGUAACACACAGUUGUGUUUUCAGUUUUAAUCUCGAUGGGGAUUUUAAGGUUGGGAUAAGUGGCUUAGAUUUUUCUCUAAUCUAAUUAUUUUAGGAUUAUCAUGAUUAAAGUAGUAUAAUCCUUAAAUAGACUAAAAUCUUUGGAACCUUAAUUUUUAUUGUAAUUUAACUAAGAACUAUAUUUUUCAAUUUAAAAGUCACAAAUUUACAACAAUC